AGGGGAUCAAAUACUAUUUUCCCUCACUGUAUAUAUUUGUAUUACUAGUAGUCGUUGCUUAGUAGCCUAGGCUAUAUGCUGCCGCCAGUGCUCUGUGUGGAGCGCAUUGAACAGCGUUUUUUUCUUGGAAAAAGUGAUAUUUUGAAAUAGAGCUCAUCUCAGUUAUUUGGUAAAUAAAGAUACAGAUGUAUGACCUGCAUGAACCUCUGUAGGAUGAUUAGAAAAUGUUGCUUUUUGGUUAAGCUUAGUCAAUUACACACGUCAAUUCACAAUUUAUAAUAUUGUCACCCAUCAGACUGUCAAUUUAAUGUUGUCUUUAGGCUAUAAUUAUUAUAUCUGUGCAAUUAGUUUUUAUAUAGUUUAGGUGGAGUUUCCAUGGGCCAUUAUCAGAUGGGCAGCCAACUGUCAGGUGAAGGAAGGGCUGGGGGGAAAUGACAUGUCCUCCUAAAACUGCUUAUAACACAAAUCGAAAUUCUAACAAUGUCAGUGUGUUAAAUAUAUUUAUUUAGGAAAAGUCAAAGAUGGAGGGGGGCAUGACUUUAAAAAUGCAGAUAUUAAAAUGUUUAAUUCACAUGAAGUUAAAAUGACAGUCUUGUUGUUUCUAGUGUUAACUACUGAGAUAACUACUUGUCUGACACUUAUUUUUUUUACUUGCCCCGGACAAUCUUAAAGUCGAGCCCUACUAUUGUCAAUAGGAAUCAUUCGACACAAAGUUGGCAGUUUAGUUUGGCGCAGAAUCAGCACAAAAAGGAGUGUUAAGGAUCACCUUGGGCUAGAUCUUAGUGUGUUAAGCCAGUUAUGACCAAUCCUGUUGCUAGCACCUAGAGCGACUUACAGUCACACACAACAUCUGCAGGUUUUAGUGCCUCAUUACUGAUUACGUCAUUUCAAUGGAAUAGUCAGCUCAUGAGUGUCAUACUAAGUGGGCUGUCCCAUCCAGGUCCUCCAAGACGACUUUGUUAAAGGUUACUCAUACACUAGUCUCAAAACAUCUGUUACAACCAUAUUCUGCCUUAAUGGACCUCGGAACACUUAGUUCCGAUGAUGUAAACAGUAUAAUGAGAGCUCUGUAAUGCGUUUGACGUUAGCUCCUGUGAGAACCAAAAUCAUAACUGGCUUCAAAAAACCACAGUGAGAUUCUGGUGAUCUACAGUCAAUGGCAAAAAAAACAUGUAUCGGUUCAAAAUAAGACCUCUAUAAUAUUUUGAUGUAAUGUUGUGUCUGUCUGGAUAUUUGGAUUGGUAUAAAUGAGUGGACAGUGUGGGCUCUGAUUGUGAUGUUAUGAACAUACAUGUCGUUUGGAACAUACUAGCGAUCAUUCUGUAUUUCACAGUGUAGAAGUUGUGCGUUCCUAGUAAAAACGUUCACUUGUGCAUCAUGAGUUGAGUUGAAUGUUGAAUACAUUUCCUAAUCGUGGGGUUUUCUGACCUCUUCUAAACCUUUUGGCAGGUUAAUAAUGGGAAAGCAUUUGAUCUUGUUAAGAAAGCAGAAGUAUCAAAUAUAUGUGGGUCUGUGAGUGUUUCAGUUCCCACUUGUGCGCCUAACAUUUGGUUUCCCAAUACUGUAUAUAGCAGGAGGGGUUUUGCGUUGUGUUUUUACAGAUGUUGCUCCUUCCUGAGGAUGGCAAAAAACAAGCUCCUUUGACAGUCAAGUGUUACAUAUACAUACAACCAUAUGACCAUACAAAAUAAUAUAUACCACACAUGUAUACAACAUAGUAUGAAAAAUGUAUGCACUCACUAAUUGUAAGUCGCUCUGGAUAAGAGCGUCUACUAAAUGACAAAAAUGUCAAUUGGAUCACAAAAAAUAUAUAUAUAUGACGUUAAAUUGAACACUGUAAUAGCUGCAGAACCUACUCAUGUGAACCAAGAUGAGGAUCCUCUUCUGUAAUUGUAUUAAUUUCCCUGUAGUGUUUCUCAGAAAAAUACAACUUUGCAUCACAAAAGUUCUGUGAAGUUUUAAACAACCCUAAACGUAUUCAACCCCAGUGUAAAGCGCUUUUCUCCACUGCUUAUGGGAUCCAGACCUAUGCAACUGCCAGAUACUUGUGUUUUUUGGCAGUGCUCAGUGAAUGACGUAGACAGGCGUGGUAAUAACAAUGAGAAACCUAUUAAUUCCAGACUAUCCAGAUUUUGCACUCUGAAGUUGGCUAAGGGCAAAUCAAAAAGGGUGCGGUCAUGGUAUUUAGUUCUGCUGGUUCUAAUAUACAUAUUGUGGAUGAUCCAUUGCCAUUUUUCGCUUUACUACAAUAAACGAAAGUAAAAUGUUCUAUCAUUCUAAAGUUUCCUGCCUGUCGGGAUGGCUGUGCUACGCGCGCAAUACACUGAGAAUGUGAGUACAGUACAUAGGAAAUGACUCAUAGGAGUUGAACUGUUAGCGUGGGUGUGUACUCUAUUAAAACAAGGCUCAGACUACUCCGGGUGACUCAUUGUGAGGCUAGCUUUUCCAUGGUGAAAACCAAAACUGGCUCUUCAUCAGAUUAACUUUCGGGAAUUGCGUUUAUACAAGAACCAUGGCUUCAAACAUUAUCUGUGCGCUUUGUGGACUUAUCAUUGCGACUGUAGCGAACCUAAACGGAGUGAACGGGCAACAAAACCUAUGCAGUAGUUCAGAGUUCUGGAGUUCGGACAUAGACCAAUGCGUAUCCUGCUCAUCAUGCAAGCAAUAUCCAAAGACUCCUUCAUGUAACACAUGCACAGUUACCAAGGAAAGAUCUGAUGUCUGGAGACUGGCAGCCAUUUCCAGCUUCUCUGUGCUGGCAGUUAUUCUGGUCGCUGCAGUAUUGAUCAUUGGAGUCAUGGUGCAUCGACGCAAGGCACAGAAGAGGCCCCUUCGUGAACCUAUUGAAGAGACAACGGGACCUCUUUACCAAGCGUAAACAUUUCACCUCAUCUUCCUUCUGACAUUGAUGUGACAGAACCAAGGGAACAUCUUUGGAUGACCAACCGAAAAAGAAUCAUUUUUGUACUGGACUGUACUCUGACCACAGGGUAUUAUUUGAGUGGAGUUGGACCAUUUAAUUUAUUAUACUGUUAGGAAAGAUGUGUUCACACACACUCAGUGUGUUACAGAACGGAGCUCUCACAUAGAACUGUGUUAACUGGCGCUGUCAAUCCCUUAUCUUGUCUGCAGUCAGACUAUACUCUGAGGAAGAUCAUGUAGUUAGUAAAGAGUAGCUCUCACAGCUUUUUGAAAUGAUGGCCUUUGAGUAGUGAUGCUAGGUUUAGCUUGUGUAGAUAUUCCAAUAAUCUAUCUAUCGAUAAGUAAGUUGUUCAAUCAAUAAGUUGUUUCAAAAACAGUAGUGAACAUGAGACACAUCUUGAAUAAUUUGGAUUUCUAACCAUAACUGUCAAUGCUUCAACACCUAUUGUUCUAUUGUAGCUUAUUAGGUCGAAUACCAAGUACCGCACUGCCUCGACUUGCCAUCAGCAGGAUACAAGUGAAUACAGCACAAUCGUGCUUCCUGGGCCAGGUUUCACAUACUGUACUUCUAUAAGAGUAAAAGGUUUCUAUUUGCUGGUCAUAUUUAACAUCCUCAUGGUAAUGAAGUGUAAAAGGGAAAUGUUAGAUUAUACAUUCAUGUUGGGCACAUUUGGGCCAUUUGAAUGUACUUUUAGGGCAAUUUAUCCAGUCUGUGUUUCCAUGUAGGAACUAUAUGCACUUAGUGCUUGUUUUUAAAGGAGUCGAAUUCUUUAACAGUAUUGUGCACUGUACUCUCUAGGGUCUUCGAAUCAAAAGAGGCAAAGGGAAAAGUUCACUGAUUAUGAAACUGCUCAAACAUAUUGGACAUUUUUAAACAGGUCAUUUGACCAUUAUACUGUAAUAUGUGUGUAUGCAGGAUAAGUAGCAUAACACAGGGGUUCGCAAACUGUCGUGAUAGAAAAGUUCAAGGUGGUCCAGAAUUCAGUGGGAAUGUGUUUGUAUAGUUCAGGGGAUGGGCAACUUUGAUGGGGGUGGGGGCCACAAAAAAUCUGAACUCAUCAUGAGGGGCCACAGUUGUGCCGCCACCCAAUAUAGUUUAUAUAUAUAUAUAUUUUUGCAUUUAAAUCCUUCCCAGAUGGACACAAAUAGGGAAACCUUAGCAUUGUGCUCUCCACAGUUGAAACAAUGGAGAUGAGUCAAUGCUUGUGUGACAGAAUUUUUUUAACACUAUUAGACACUGACUGUUAACCCAGGAAGGAACAUUGCAGUUUAGGGAAAAACAAACUGAACCCUAUUGAAAAGUAUAACCAUGGUAUAACUGUGUAGUCAUCUUCAAACUAACUCAGAGCACAAUUUUAGAGUUUAUUUCAUAUUACUUACAAUAUUACUUCCUUAUCAAUAUUAAGUGAAUAUGGAUAACAGCAGCAAGAAAGGGGUAACUUUUAUACAGAUAUUGUUUUUAUAUCUAUUUAUUUUGAAUGAUAUAUUUUGUAAUGUUUAUAGUUACAUGUGGAAACAGCUAACUGUAUGAAUAAAUACUGUCGAAGGGACCCCUGUAAAGUUGUUUAUAAAACCUCUGACACCAGCUGACCAAUUUUAUUUGUUACUGAGCAAUAAUUUAGGGCUCUAUUCAAUCUGUAUCGGGGAAGCGUUACAGAUUGUGCAAUAGAAGUGUAAAGGUAAUUUCAGAUUGAGCUGUCAUAUGCAGCGUUUACCAUGAAUGCAGUCUCCGCUAACGCAGAAACAUUGCCUUUAAAUUUCAAUUACGCUGUAACGCUGAACUUCCGUGAUUUGGAUUGAAUAGAACCCUAGGAAAUGUACUUUUCUUGUGGGCUAGUGCAGUAAUAAGCAUUGUUACAAAUUAACUCUGUCUGACUUUUGUGUAUUAUAUAGAAUAAAAUUAUGAAUCCCAUUGA